rnacentral:rRNA from 1 species
UUGUCUCUUAAUUGGAGAAGGGUAUGAAUGGUUUGACGUGGUAGUUUCUGUCUCAAUGGUAAUAUUAUGAAGUUUUCUUUUGAGUUAAAAGUCUCAAAUUUAGAUAAAAGACGAGAAGACCCUGUCGAGCUUAAUAAAAUUGUAAAGAGUUUUUAUAUAAUAAAUUUAACUGGGGCAGUUGAGAACCAAUAAAUAGUUCUUUGUUAUUUAAAGAUCCGGUUUUACCGAACAUAAGAAAAAGCUACCGCAGGGAUAACAGCGUUAUCCUCUCUGAGAGAACUAAUUGAAGAGGGGGUUUGCGACCUCGAUGUUGGAUUAAAGUUUCUUUUUGGUGCAGCAGCUAAAAUAGUAGGACUGUUCGUCCUUUAAAACUUUACGUGAUCUGAGUUCAGAC